GACACCAUCUCAAACAGGUAACUCCAGUGCCCUCAGUCUUAUUUGCUGGCCAUUGCGAUUCCUUCAGUGACUCUUUUCCUAGAACCCUUGUCAGUAGCCCUGUCCCUAUAGACUCUUUCCAGUGAGUAAACAACUUCAUGAAAACCAGUGCCUGUAACUAGACCCCACGCUUGCCAGCAUCAGAGAAGACAGAAGGAUUGCUUCAUGUGUCUUACAGAUGACCCAAUGCUGUUUACACAUUCCUGCAUGUUGGUUGGUGUUUUCUUUUUGCUGCUGUGUGAUGUCUUUGGCUGACAUUCAGCUUGUGAUGACUCCGGAUCCUGCA
rnacentral:lncRNA from 1 species